rnacentral:rRNA from 1 species
AGGGGAGUGAAAAAGAACCUGAAACCGUGUACGUACAAGCAGUGGGAGCACGCUUAGGCGUGUGACUGCGUACCUUUUGUAUAAUGGGUCAGCGACUUAUAUUCUGUAGCAAGGUUAACCGAAUAGGGGAGCCGAAGGGAAACCGAGUCUUAACUGGGCGUUAAGUUGCAGGGUAUAGACCCGAAACCCGGUGAUCUAGCCAUGGGCAGGUUGAAGGUUGGGUAACACUAACUGGAGGACCGAACCGACUAAUGUUGAAAAAUUAGCGGAUGACUUGUGGCUGGGGGUGAAAGGCCAAUCAAACCGGGAGAUAGCUGGUUCUCCCCGAAAGCUAUUUAGGUAGCGCCUCGUGAAUUCAUCUCCGGGGGUAGAGCACUGUUUCGGCAAGGGGGUCAUCCCGACUUACCAACCCGAUGCAAACUGCGAAUACCGGAGAAUGUUAUCACGGGAGACACACGGCGGGUGCUAACGUCCGUCGUGAAGAGGGAAACAACCCAGACCGCCAGCUAAGGUCCCAAAGUCAUGGUUAAGUGGGAAACGAUGUGGGAAGGCCCAGACAGCCAGGAUGUUGGCUUAGAAGCAGCCAUCAUUUAAAGAAAGCGUAAUAGCUCACUGGUCGAGUCGGCCUGCGCGGAAGAUGUAACGGGGCUAAACCAUGCACCGAAGCUGCGGCAGCGACGCUUAUGCGUUGUUGGGUAGGGGAGCGUUCUGUAAGCCUGUGAAGGUGUGCUGUGAGGCAUGCUGGAGGUAUCAGAAGUGCGAAUGCUGACAUAAGUAACGAUAAAGCGGGUGAAAAGCCCGCUCGCCGGAAGACCAAGGGUUCCUGUCCAACGUUAAUCGGGGCAGGGUGAGUCGACCCCUAAGGCGAGGCCGAAAGGCGUAGUCGAUGGGAAACAGGUUAAUAUUCCUGUACUUGGUGUUACUGCGAAGGGGGGACGGAGAAGGCUAUGUUGGCCGGGCGACGGUUGUCCCGGUUUAAGCGUGUAGGCUGGUUUUCCAGGCAAAUCCGGAAAAUCAAGGCUGAGGCGUGAUGACGAGGCACUACGGUGCUGAAGCAACAAAUGCCCUGCUUCCAGGAAAAGCCUCUAAGCAUCAGGUAACAUCAAAUCGUACCCCAAACCGACACAGGUGGUCAGGUAGAGAAUACCAAGGCGCUUGAGAGAACUCGGGUGAAGGAACUAGGCAAAAUGGUGCCGUAACUUCGGGAGAAGGCACGCUGAUAUGUAGGUGAAGUCCCUCGCGGAUGGAGCUGAAAUCAGUCGAAGAUACCAGCUGGCUGCAACUGUUUAUUAAAAACACAGCACUGUGCAAACACGAAAGUGGACGUAUACGGUGUGACGCCUGCCCGGUGCCGGAAGGUUAAUUGAUGGGGUCAGCGCAAGCGAAGCUCUUGAUCGAAGCCCCGGUAAACGGCGGCCGUAACUAUAACGGUCCUAAGGUAGCGAAAUUCCUUGUCGGGUAAGUUCCGACCUGCACGAAUGGCGUAAUGAUGGCCAGGCUGUCUCCACCCGAGACUCAGUGAAAUUGAACUCGCUGUGAAGAUGCAGUGUACCCGCGGCAAGACGGAAAGACCCCGUGAACCUUUACUAUAGCUUGACACUGAACAUUGAGCCUUGAUGUGUAGGAUAGGUGGGAGGCUUAGAAGUGUGGACGCCAGUCUGCAUGGAGCCGACCUUGAAAUACCACCCUUUAAUGUUUGAUGUUCUAACGUUGACCCGUAAUCCGGGUUGCGGACAGUGUCUGGUGGGUAGUUUGACUGGGGCGGUCUCCUCCUAAAGAGUAACGGAGGAGCACGAAGGUUGGCUAAUCCUGGUCGGACAUCAGGAGGUUAGUGCAAUGGCAUAAGCCAGCUUGACUGCGAGCGUGACGGCGCGAGCAGGUGCGAAAGCAGGUCAUAGUGAUCCGGUGGUUCUGAAUGGAAGGGCCAUCGCUCAACGGAUAAAAGGUACUCCGGGGAUAACAGGCUGAUACCGCCCAAGAGUUCAUAUCGACGGCGGUGUUUGGCACCUCGAUGUCGGCUCAUCACAUCCUGGGGCUGAAGUAGGUCCCAAGGGUAUGGCUGUUCGCCAUUUAAAGUGGUACGCGAGCUGGGUUUAGAACGUCGUGAGACAGUUCGGUCCCUAUCUGCCGUGGGCGCUGGAGAACUGAGGGGGGCUGCUCCUAGUACGAGAGGACCGGAGUGGACGCAUCACUGGUGUUCGGGUUGUCAUGCCAAUGGCACUGCCCGGUAGCUAAAUGCGGAAGAGAUAAGUGCUGAAAGCAUCUAAGCACGAAACUUGCC